rnacentral:piRNA from 1 species
UGAAUACAUUGAGGCAGCAUGUGAUGA